rnacentral:rRNA from 1 species
GAGAGUGGGUAGUCCGCACGAGCGCACCUUACUUUUAGUUGCCAUCAUUUAGUUGGGCACUCUGAAAGAACUGCCAGUGAUAAGCUGGAGGAAGGUGGGGAUGACGUCAAGUCCUCAUGGCCCUUACGUGUUGGGCUACACACGUGCUACAAUGGCAUCUACAACAGGAAGCAAAACGGCAACGUUAAGCAAAUCCCGAAAAGAUGCCUCAGUUCGGAUUGCACUCUGCAACUCGAGUGCAUGAAGCUGGAAUUACUAGUAAUCGCGGAUCAGCGUGCCGCAGUGAAUACGUUCCCGGGUCUUGUACACACCGCCCGUCACACCAUGGGAGUUGGUUCUACCUUAAGGCAAAGCUUAAAACCUUUGACCACGGUAUAGUCAGCGACUGGGGUGAAGUCGUAACAAGGUAGCCGUAGGGGAACCUGCGGCUGGAUUACCUCCUUUCU